UUCCAAACGUGUACCCGUGGUGGAGAGAGAGAGAGAGAAGUACAUCAAAUAAUGAUGCCAUGCAAUUCAAGGCAUUACUAGAGCUAUUUUUUUAAUUCGUACAAUUUAUUUAAAAAUUUUAGGUUUCUCAAAAAAUAUAAAAUUUUGAUCGUACAUUAAAAAAAAGUUUCUUGAAGAUCAAAAAUUGGCAAAAAAAAUAAAGAGGUUAGCUUAUUUAGUUUGUAAAGUGUUGUUUGAAAUUUAUGUUUUUUUAUUUUUUUCUGUUUCUUGUGGUGGUAGGUUGUGUGGUAGUAGUGGGUGCAGGGGCGGCAAGGCUUGUUAUCUUUGUGGAGAAUGUGAUGAUAGGUAGUGGCAGUAGCAAUGAUGGUGGAUGCGGCAGUGGCGGGAUAGAGGCAGAAGGGCAAAGGCGGCACGGUGGUGGUAAUGGUGGUAGAGUGGCGGUGGUUGAUUGUGUGAUAUAGAAAAGCACGGUGUGAUACCAAUUGACGCAAGAAAGCAUGUUAAAACACAAAAAAAAUAUUCAAGAAUUCAAUAAAAUUUGUGAGGGGUAAAUGCAUAAGAAAGAGAGGGACAGCACAUUAUUUGUUUGGAUGCCUUUUCGUUUUUUGGAAUAAUUGUUUGGAUUCCUUAAUUGUUGGUCUUUUUGAUAAAAACUGGUUAACUUUGUUUCUUCUUAAAAUGGUGGGUAGCCUUUAUAGAGAAUGCAGACAAAAAUACAUAUUCUUUUGUAAUAGGAAAAUCAAUUUUAAAAUUCUUGUAAAUAUGAUGUUUUUUUCAUGACACGGGACUACCCAAAAUUAUGAGCGAGACCUCUAUCAACUCACAGGUAACUCUUAAUGGAAGAGUGGUGACUCCUCCAUUACUAAUUUAUAAUUGCGACAAGUGGUGACUAAGACAUCCAAUGGCCAAAAUUGUAAACCAAUAAUUAAACCUAGUUUUCAUCCCUAGAUGACGAUUUCUUCCUAGCCAGCACUAUUCCAUCCUGCUUAGGAAUGGACCCAAUGGAGAAUGAUUGGGGCAAUCCCCAUCCCAAAAUUUCUAUUAGCCCUUAGUUAUAAAUAUUUUCAACCCAAGGUUCUCUAAAAGAAAAUUGUUCACCCACAUGUGACAAAUAAAAAUGGCAUGCUAGAUCCUACUUAAAACACUAGACCUUAUCAUUUGGGUCGUCAAAUGAUGGUGAGUACCACCCAAAGCCUAGGGUUGUCAUACAUCAGGUUGGGCUUGUACUAUAUAUAUAUAUAUUAACGAGAUAAAUGACUACCAGCCCGACCGCUGCCUAUGAAAAUAAUUAAAUCUAGCCCACUUAGUUCUGUUUAGGAUUUAUUACACUUUUUCCCCUUAAACUAUUUAACCAUUCCGACUUUGCCUUCCAAACUAUUAUUUUUCCUAAUUUGCAUCACAAUUAACCUUCUAUUUGCAAUUAACACCACCAUUCCAUUUCCAUCUAAAAAAUGAUACCUAGGCAUGUGCGGCCAAAUGGUGCCAGCUAACAAGACACAAACCCAAAGCCCCAAAACCUAACCCUAACAACCUUUUCCUUUCUCUUCCCCUGACCCCAACCCAAAUUAGACCCCAACUCAGAGAGAGAGAGCCAUUGCCAGAGUCAUGUCGCCAAUGCUAGAGUCACGUUGUUGCCACCGCGCACAUACACAAACUCUCUCUAACCUCAACGCCAACGAAAUGUGGUCGCCUCCACAUUCUCAACGUCAAUCUGCCGGAGUCACUUGCCGCUGUCGAAUCUGUGACAUCGAUGCCGCCAAAGUCGAUUGUCAUUGCCUGAUUCACGUUGUUGCACAACCAUGGCUUCGAAAAACUCUCUCUCUCUCUCUCUCUCUCUCUUAACCAUGAUGUUUGAGUUUUGGGUCCUUGGAUUUUUCGGUUUUGGGUCUUUGAAUUUUGGUUUUGAGUCAAGUAGAUAUGGUUUUGGACCUUGGAUUUUUGAGUUGGCGCCACUUAGCCACAUGCGUGUCACCUAGUUGUCAUUUCCGUUCAUUUUUUGGACGAAAAUUGAAGGGUGGUGUUAAUUGCAAACGGAAAGUUAGUUUAGGGUACAAAUUGAGAAAAUUAAUAGUUCAUAGAGAAAAAUAAGAAUCACUCAAUAGUUUAAGGAGAAAAAGUGUAAUAAACCCAUCUGACUAUUAAACAUUAAUAAAACACGACAAAAAAAUUUGAUAGUGGAUAUAGUACUCCGUAAAGACUCACACCUUAUGUAUUUUCCAUUAGUUAAACCCAUUACAUUCGUGCAGGGCCAAAUGGGUUUGGAAAAAAUUGACAUUCCAAAGCCCAGCCCAAUAAGUAGCUGGGUUUAAACGACUUGAAAAUUUGGGACAUCGAUUUUGUUUCCUAAAUUGAAAAUAAGAAACAAUUUAUUUGACAAGUCAAGAGGCAAUAAUUCAAAAUUGCAAAUUAAUUCUUCUCAACAAUAGAAAAACAAAAUUCAUCAUAAUACUUGUCAUCUACGAAUAUUAAUUAACAGAAAAAUAUGAAACGAAAAAUAAUC
rnacentral:lncRNA from 1 species